rnacentral:piRNA from 1 species
UCCAUCAUACGCCGUGACUGCAUGUG